GAAGGAAACAAGCAAUCAAGAUCAAAGAUAUACAAAGCAAGAUUGCUCUACUCUCUGAUCGCAUUCGUGAUAAUAAUAUUAAGUCAACAUCAGAAUCAUCAAAUUCAUCGUCUGAAGCACCUGGAAAGCUAAAGCGAUUUCACUCCUUCACAACCAUGGAGCCAGAGAUAUUUGUUGGAUUUCAUGGAGCCGUUGAUCAACUGGUGGGACAUUUGGUGGAUGGAAGUGAUGAUCGUUACCCGCUUAUCUCUAUUUGUGGAAUGGGUGGUCUAAGUAAGACAACUCUUGCUCAAAAAAUAUAUAAUCAUCCAACCAUUAAAGCAUCCUUCGCUGGUUUAGCCUGGGUUUCCAUUUCGCAGAAGUGGCAAAAGAAACUUGUGUUGCAGCGAAUACUGAUAUGUCUCAUCCAGGAAAAGAAAGAGGAAAUUCUUACUUGGGACGAUGACAAGUUAGUGGAGAAUCUGCUAGAAAUUCAGCAGAGGAAAAAAUGCUUGAUAGUCCUUGAUGACAUAUGGACUACUGAUGCUUGGGAUUCUAUGAAAUCGGCCUUCACAACUGAAACAUCUCUGAGCAAAUUAAUGCUUACCAGCCGUAAUGUGGAGGUUGCUGAGCAUGUAAAUCGAGAAGGAUUCAUAUACCAACCAGAACGCCUAAAUGAAGAACAGAGUUGGGAGCUACUUAAGUUGAAAGCAGUUCCCAGAGGAUAUCAUCUAGGUAGAUACUUUACUUGCAUUUAUUAUGUUUCAUUCACUAGUACAUAUAGGUACACAUCCACUACAAAGAAUGAAGUUCAAGAAUAUACUAGAUCUGUUUCAACUCAGAUGACAUAUGUGAAGUUAAUAGUGUAGACUUGGAAAUUCCAGAUUUAGUCUAGUAUAACUUGUUUCGUGAUUUUAAACUUGCAAUUACAAAAGCUGUUUAAAAACCUAUCGACAAGUAAUUUUUUUACUAAGAAAAGAGGGUGAAAUAUCUUCGACAUUCAACCCUUGAUUACAUUUAGUGGUUCAUCUAUUAUAAAGGCAUAGCGAGAAAUUAUUUUAUUAGUCUAUAUGCAUUUGUCUGCACAUAAUAUGUAUGUGUUUGUGAUUCUUUGUUCUUGUGUGUUACAGAUUCCAAAGAAAUUUUGUCAGAGAUGGAAAAAUUGGGAAGAGAAAUGGUUAAAAAAUGUGCCGGUCUUCCACUAGCUAUAGUCAUUUUAGGCGGAAUUCUUGUAACAAAACUUUCACUGAUGGAGUGGGAGACGGUUUAUACUGAUAGUUUAAGUCCCCCGGAGAAGGGAAAAGGAUUGGGAGAAGUUCAGCAAAGAGAAUUAUUUCAUGUUCUACUUUGGAGUUACAAUGAUUUACCCCCACAAUUAAAGCCAUGUUUUUUGUAUUUAGGUAAAUUUGGUGAAGAUGAACAGAUAGAAGCAGAGACUCUAUAUCAGUUAUGGAUUGCAGAAGGGAUGGUACUGUCGACUGAUAAAAGGGAAGGAGAGACAAUGAUGCAAGUAGCUGAAUCGUAUAUGGGGGAACUGGUCCAUAGGAGUAUGGUUCAAGUGACAUAUCAAGAUAUGGAAAACUCGUGUACAAAGAUAAAAUCUUCCUCACUUCAUGACCUUAUGAGAGACCUAUCUCUGUACCAAGCGAAAGCAGAAGAUUUUUUUGAAGUUCUUGAUCUUCGAAAAAGAAACGAUUUGCAUCCCACUCCUUCGACAGAUUUCAGGUCGGUUGACACUCAACAACUUGUAGUUUAUUAUGAUGAGGUACAAAUAAGCAAAGAAAUUGAAUCCUACUUUGUUAAGAAAUCCGAUCAACAAUAUCGUUCAAUGUUCCUGUUAAGCGACGGUGUAUUCACUUGCUUUAGGUGGCCACUUUUGCCGAAAGUAGUUGGGUCACAUGUUGCCAAUUUCAGGUUCCUCAGAGUUUUUUCCUUGGAAAAUGCUAAAGUAGAUGGUAUACUUUAUCCUAGAAGUUUUGUGAGAGCUUUAGGAAGUCUUUUGUACUUGAGAUAUCUCAGUGUAAGCAUGGUGCUACUCCAAACUCUCAAACUAAGAGGGGUGUAUUGGAUUGGGAUUUUAAAGCAUUUUUUUGCAUUCAUAAAAUCCGAGGUUAUUCGAUUGGGAUUGUUUGAAAUCCAUUAAAAUCUUGAGGUAUUCAAUUGGGAUUUUAAAUUAUGCUACAAAAUCCGGUGGUAUUCAAUUGGGAUUUUAAAUUAUGCUUUAAAAUCCGAUGGUAUUCAAUUGAGAUUCUUUAAAAUCCAUUAAAAUCUGAUGGUAUUCAAAUGCUGAUGGAUUUUUUUGCAUUUCAUAAAAUGAUGGAUUUUGUGGCAUUCUUCAGUGUAUUUUAAGUUUUUUGAAAUCCCAUCAAAAUCAAUGGGAUUUUGAAGCAUUGUGCUUAAAUCAUAUAAACUCUGCGACAUUUUAUUAAGAAUCCGCACAAAAUCAAAAUCACACGCAAUCCAUUAAAAUCCAUAGACUAAAAACAAUCCAUUAAAAUCCCAAUCGAAUACACCCCGUAAAUCUAUUCGAUCGUAUAUCUAUUCCAUCAUGGUUUUCAAGAAAUAUUCUGGGCAAGAUGGGACAUUUGCGGCAUUUGUACUUGCCUCAUACUUCUCUUACAUCUAUAAAUGAUCAAAAAUUAGGGUUUGAUGGGUUGGGCAAGUUAGAGACACUGGAGAACUUCAGUAAUCUGUGGUGUGAGGCUAAGGAUCUUCCGAAACUAAUCAAUCUUCAGAAACUAACAUUAGUAGUAGCCGGUGUUCAUGAUGAUGUGGAAGAGACCAUGAAAAAUCUGGCAGCAUUAGCCUUGUCAUCAUCUUCAAAUCUCCGGUACUUGGGCCUUUCUCUUUUUCUAGUUGAUCAACCGGGAGAUAAAGUGAGAGAGUUGUUUUGGGAUUAUAAUUCCAUCCUUCAGAGAUUAAGCAUAAGUGGUCGGCUUGCAGAAUUGGCUCAAUUAUUUGAGAACCAACCGGGGAAUAUUAUGAAUAAUCAUGUUGAAGAAUCUUCAAUUCGUAUCACUUCCUUGAGGCUAUGGUUAUCGCUCCUGGGAGAUGACCCAAUGCCAGUACUGGAGAAGAUUCCUACACUGCGUAUUCUUGGUUUAUUCACAGAUACAUUUUUGGGGAAGGAGAUGGCGUGCUCGGCCAUGGGUUUCCCUAAACUAACCGAUCUUGUACUGGCCGACCUCCCCAACUUGGUUAAAUGGAAUAUAGAGGAAGGCAGCAUGCCCGUUCUCACCAAGUUAAAGAUUAGGCGUUGUUGGAUGUUAGAGGAGCUUCCAGAAGGUCUGGUAUUUCUCACUUCCCUUCAGCGUAUAAGGUUCUACAAUAUGCCUACAGAUUUCAUACAGAAAUUCCACAUGGAAGAUGGCAAACAAGGACAGGACUUUUACAGAGUUGCUCACGUUCCUGAGCUUGCUAUUUUGAGUGAGUAGAUUCCCAGAACCUAUUAAUUUCCUAUCUUGUGUUACUCAUAAAGGGGGUUUCUCCUUUAAUGUGGGUUUUUUUUUAUCAAGAUUGUGGCAAAUCCGGUAUAUUCUCGUUGUAUAAUAAGUUGGCCCAACAUUAUUUUAAUUUACAGAAAAGGUGGCUAAUGACCAAUGUUUUGAUAAAGAAGAGUCGUCUUUUGCCAUGGGAAAAAUGGUCUUUAGACAUUUUUUUGAAACAUAAAAAGAUUAUUGUAUUUUGAUUGAUUUCGAGAGAGAUUAACGGUCUAGAUUUUCUGAAAACUCAUGUAAUUUUGAUGAAAGAGAAUAAAAAUAUAGGCCACGAUGCAAAGCAUGACGAUAAAUGUCAUGUCCUCUUGAUGAUGGCACUAUAAAAAUUAACAUAGACGGGGCUCUAUUUUAUGAAAAGCAGAGUUAAUAGUUUCUCUGGCGUCGCUACGAAAUAUUUGAGCCAUUCACGUCUGAUUGGAUUACAGCAUACCAUAAUAACUUAGAACUAGGGAAUGGGACUACCAUAAACACCUGAUAGUGCAAAUCAAGUGAUACUAGCUCCUCCAGGUUACUCAUAUACAAUACUCAAUCAUUGAUUGGCGACAAAUAACUUUCGAUAUGGAUUCAUUAUCAACUUUAAUCUGUUCCAAGAAUCAGUAUCAGAUCAAGCUGCACAGAGAGAGCAUCAAAACCAAAGGCUUGUUGAAUAGGAUUAUAGGUGAUAAGUGAAAUUGACUUGUAAGGAAAAAUACAAUGAGUUUUAUAUUAUAUGUAGUAGAUAAUUUAUACAGAGGUUUGCCAGGUUGUUUUGCAUUUAUAAUAUUGCUGUAGCGUUGCCAUGUCUAAUUGUCUAUAUUAAAGUCAACUACGAUAAAUUUGUCACCAGUACUCUGACAAAGAAGUGUAAGAUUUCCAAAUGGCUGAAGCAGUAGUGGCAAUUGUUGCAAGACUUACUGAUUUAUUGAUUGAAAAACCACAGCUUCUUCAUGGACUGAAACAUGAAAUUUCAGAAGUCGAGACCAAGCUCCAGUUGAUAAAAUAAUUGUGGCUCUUUAUUAAACCCUCUUCUGCAUGUUUGUCUUUCUCAUGUAGAGUCAUAUUUGUUUUGUUCUGACCAAUAUUAUGCAGCCAUGAGCUCUUCAGUGGUUGAACUUAGCACCCACAUGCUUAUAGUUUAUAGUAACGACUUGCUUAUCUAGAAGCAUACACACAUGUAUACACUAUUAAUUAUUGAGCCCUUACGAUAUUACUUGCAUUGAAUAUUAGUGCCAGGAUGCUCAUAAACUAAUAUGCCAUGUUAGUUUCAGAUCUAUAUUAAAGUCAACUACCAUUAAUUUGUCACUAGUUCUCUGGAUUUUAGUGAUAUAGGUGAUUCUGACAAACGAGGCUAAGAAUUCUAAAUGGCUGAAGCAGUAGUGUCAAAAGUUGUGGCAAGGCUUACUGAUUUAUUGGUUGAAGAACCGGUGGCUCUUGAUGGACUCAAGGAUGAAAUUCAACAAGUGGUGAGCAAGCUCAAGUUAAUGAAGACAUUCUUAAGGGAUGCUGAUUCGAGGAUGAGUGAGGAUCAAGUCCGGACUUUGGUUGCUGACAUACGAGCACUUGCUUAUGAUUCUGAACAUGUUGUAGAAAGCUUUAUUGUUAAACCUUCAUCCUCUACAAGAAACAGAAGGAAACAAGCGAUCAAGAUCAAAGAUAUAGAAAACAAGAUUUCUCUACUCUCUGAUCGCAUUCAUGACAAUAAUAUUAAAUCAACAUCAGAAUCAUCAAAUUCAUCGUCUGAAGCACCUGGAAAGCUAAAGCGGUUUCACUCUUUCACAACCGCGGAGCCAGAGAUAUUUGUUGGAUUUCAUGGAGCCGUUGAUCAACUGGUGGGACAUUUGGUAAAUGAAAGUGAUGAUUGUUACCCGCUUAUCUCUAUUUGUGGAAUGGGAGGUCUAGGUAAGACAACUAUCGCUCAAAAAAUAUACAAUCAUCCAACCAUUAAAGCAACCUUUGCUGGUUUAGCCUGGGUUUCCAUUUCGCAGAAGUGGCAAAAGAAACUUGUGUUGCAGCGAAUACUGGUAUGUCUCAUCCAUGAAAAGAGAGAGGAAAUACUUACUUGGGACGAUGACAAGUUAGUGGAGAAUCUGCUAGAAAUCCAGCAGAGGAAAAAAUGCUUGAUAGUCCUUGAUGACAUAUGGACUACUGACGCUUGGGAUUCUAUGAAAUCGGCCUUCACAACUGAAACAUCUGUGAGCAAAUUAAUACUUACCAGCCGUAAUGUGGAUGUUGCUGUGCAUGUAAAUCCAGCAGGAUUCAUAUACCAACCAGAAUGCCUAAAUGCAGAACAAAGUUGGGAGCUACUUAAGUUGAAAGCAGUUCCCAGAGGAUAUCAUCGAGGUAGAUACUUUACUUUGCAUUUAUUAUGUUUCAUUCACUAUAGUACAUAUAGGUACACAUCCACUACAAUGAAUGAAGUUCAAGAAUAUAUAAGAUCUGUUUCAAUUCAGAUGAUAUAUGUAAAGUUAAUAGUGUAGACUUGGAAAUUCCAGAUUUAGUCUAGUAUAACCUGUUUCGUGAUUUCAAACUUGCAAUUACAAAAGCUGUUUGAAAACCUAUAGACAAGUAAUUUUUUACUAAGAAAAGAGGGUGAAAUAUCUUCGACAGUCAACCCUUAAUUACAGUGUAUAUGCAUUUGUCUGUACAUUAUAUGUAUGCGUUUGUGAUUCUUUGUUUUUGUGUGUUACAGAUUCCAAAGAUAUUUUUACAGAGAUGGAAAAAAUGGGAAGAGAAAUGGUUAAAAAAUGUGCCGGUCUUCCACUAGCUAUAGUCAUUUUAGGCGGAAUUCUUGUAACAAAACCUUCAGUGAUGGAGUGGGAGAAGGUAUAUGCUGAUAGUUUAUGGUCCCUGGAAAAGGGAAAAGGAUUGGGAGAAGAUCAGCAAAGAGAAUUAUUUCAUGUUCUACUCUGGAGUUACAAUGAUUUACCCCCACAAUUAAAGCCAUGUUUUCUGUAUUUAGGUAAAUUUGGUGAAGAUGAACAGAUAGAAACAGAGACUCUAUAUCAAUUAUGGAUUGCAGAAGGGAUGGUACUGUCGACUGAUAAAAGGGAAGGAGAGACAAUGAUGCAAGUAGCUGAGUCGUAUAUGGGGGAGCUGGUCCGUAGGAGUAUGGUUCAAGUAACGUAUCAAGACAUGGAAAACUCGCGUACAAAGAUAACAUCUUCCUCACUUCAUGACCUUAUGAGAGACCUGUCUCUCUCCCAAGCAAAAGAAGAAGAUUUUUCUGAAGUUAUUAAUCUUCGAGAAGGAAAAGAUUUUCAUCUCAAUCCUUCAGCAGAUUUCAGGUCGGCUGAAACUCGACAACUUGUAGUUUAUUAUGAUGAGGAAGAUAUAAGCAAACAAAUGAAAUCCUACUUUGUCAAGAAAUGCAAGCAACAACAAUAUCGAUCAAUGUUACUAUUCAGUGAGGGUGUAUUCACUUACUGUUGGUGCCCACGUUUGCCGAAAGUAGUGGGGUCACAUGUUGGCAAUUUCAGGUUCCUAAGAGUUUUUUCCAUGGAAAAUGCUAGAGUAGAAGGUGCACUUUAUCGUAGAAGUUUUGUGAGAGCAUUAGGAAGCCUUGUGUACUUGAGAUAUCUUAGUGUGAGGAAUGUGUGGUUGGCUUUGAUUCCAUCUAUAAAGAACAUGGUGCUACUCCAAACUCUCAAAUUAGAUCUACGCCUUCCUAUAUCUAUUCCAUCAUGGCUUUCAAGAAAUAUUCUGGGCAAGCUGGGACAUUUGCGGCAUUUGUAUUUGCCUCCUAGUGAAUGGACAGCUCCAAAGAAACAAAAAUUAAGGUUUGAUGGGUUGGGCAAGUUAGAGACAUUGGAGAACUUUAGAAAUAUGUGGUGUGAGGCUCAGGAUCUUCCGAAACUAAUCAAUCUUCAGAAACUAACAUUAGAAGUAGCCGGUGUUUAUGAUGAUGUGAAAGAGGCCCUGAAAAAUCUGUCAGCACUAGCCUUGUCAUCAUCUUCAAAUCUCGCCUACUUGGGACUUUCUCUUGUUUUAUACAAUCAACCAGGAGAGAAGGCGGGAGAGUUGUGGGAUUUUAAUUUCAUCCUUCAGAAAUUAAGCAUAACUGGUCAGCUUGUAGAAUUGGCUCAAUUAUUUGAGAACCAACCGCGGAAUAUCAUCAAUAAUCAUGUUGAAGAAUCUUCAAUUCGUAUCACUUCCUUGACGUUACGUUCAUCGCUCCUGGCAGAUGACCCAAUGCCAGUACUAGAGAAGAUUCCUACGCUGUGUAAUCUCGAUUUAUUCUUAGACUCAUUUGUGGGGAAGGAGAUGGUGUGCUCGUCCAUUGGUUUCCCGAAACUCACCAGUCUUAAACUGCUGCACCUCCCUAACUUGGUGAAAUGGAAUAUAGAGGAUGGCAGCAUGCCCCUUCUCACCAAGUUGUACAUUGAUUGUUGUUGGAUGUUAGAGGAGCUUCCAGAAGGCAUAAUAUUUCUCACUUCCCUUCAGCAUUUUGAGUUACGCGAUAUGCCUGCAGAUUUCAUACACAAACUCUGCACGGUAAAUGGCAAACAAGGACAAGACUUUUACAAAGUUGCUCACGUUCCUGACUUGUCUAUUAUCUAAGAGUAGAAUAAGGAGCUGAUCACAUCCAUCAUUGUAUUUUGAUUAAUUCAAGAACUCAAGAAGUUGUAAUUUUGAUGAAAGAAAGUAAAAAUAUAAGCCACGAUGAAAAGCAUGAAAAUAAAUGUUAUAUUCCGUAUUAUAAACAAGAGGUAAUUUCGAAAUGUAGAGCCACUGAUUAGUGAAGAGCUUUUAAAGCCUUGGAUCAGGUUUCAAAGGAGUGUCUAGAAUAUUAGGUACAUGUUAUCGAUGGUUGAUUUUAAAAAUUGGUACAUUUAUGUUGAUGUUGAAGUGAGGAAUUAUGGUUCGAGUAUUGAAUGUUGGUUUAUAAGUUUUGUAAGAAAUAAGAUUAUAAAACUUUUGAUAGUUACAUGAUUGAUGCUGAUAAAGCAUUUUUUAAGGAGUAUAAGACGAAGAACAUAGUAAAGUUUUUGUGUUAUGCUGCCUGGGUGAGGAAUGAGACGGUGAUUUUUGAGAUCAACUCGGAAGGCAGUGAGGAAAACUGAGGAGAAAGGUAGAGGGUUCGGGAAGGUCAAGAAGCCCAAUCAACGUUGUAUUUUGUGACCGAUUUGGAUCCAAAUUUGGAGAUUUGAUUUUCAAAAUUUAUUUCUAGGCGAAAAUUGAUGAGGAGGGUGCUGAGUUUUAUUUGAUUCUGAAGAUAAUGAAACUGGAGCCAAUAUGUUUGUUCGGUGAAAGAGAUGUUGUCCGGACGUGAGAAGUUCCAAGUACCGCAAGACACACUUGGACUUGUUUUUGUUGAAGCACAGUUUAUUUCUAGUUCUUCUAUAUGAACUACACACACAAAAUGUAUUUUCAUAAUAUGUUUGAGAUUGCUACACAUCCCUGAACUUAUUACACUCGAAUCUCACACAAGUUUUAGAUGAUAAUAGUACAAUCACAAACCAGCUAGCUAGCUCCAACGGAAUUCAGAUUCAGAGCAUAAAACGAAACCUUUUUCUUUAUUGUCAGAUAGUUUAAAUAAAACCUUAAAGUAAAACCAGCAAUUAAUUAAACUGCCAUGCAUAUGAGAAGUGCAGGUACAGAACACCUGUGUGUCUAACAAGAUACGCCCAUCAAUAAGUUUUAAAGCAUCCAACUAUUGCGAACCCCGAACUUAUUAUACUCGGAUCUAACUCAAGUUUGAGGUGAUAAUAAUACAAUUACAGAGCAGCCAACCCCAACAUCAACAAUAUUCAGCAGGGCAAUCAGAAUUUAGAAAACAGUUCAAACGAAACCUUAAAGUAAAACCAGCAACUAAAUUACCUUGAAUAUGAGAAUUGCAGGUAAAAAACACCAGAAAUGAAACUCCUGAACUUAUCUGCAACGUUAAUUCGCUAUGUGUCUAACAAGAUACGCCCAUCACUCAAUAAGUUUCAAAGCAUCCAACUAUUGUGAGGAUAGAAAAUUACCGAACCUGGUAAUUAUAAGCGGUUUAGAACCUUUGAUUGAAGCACCGGUCUCUGUGUAUUUAAAAAAUGUUUUCAGCCCCGCAACUGGAACCGGAAUAUGUUUGUACUCUUUCUUCCGGUAGUCAUACAAGAAGAGUUCCUCAGGACACUCAAACUCGAAGAGUUCAUCAUCAGGACACACAAACUCUUUCACUCCAGAAAACAGUCCACCACCCAAAUAAGAAUAUACCCAGAUUAUUUCACCUAGUUCAAUAUUUAACUUCUUAGUCCAAGAAAUUUUGCCAUCAAUAUGAUCUAAUGUCCAUAGACAUAUUUCUGAUCUUUCCCCAAUGGAUUCAAAGAUGACCCCUGCAGAACCUUCAAAAUCCAAAAUCUUUGAGUAAUAUGACACGGAACAAGGUAGUGGGACCACCGUACACACCUCAUUGUGCAAAUCAAACGAAACUAUAUCUCUGUGACCACCUGCAUACAACGCUCCAUUUAUCACAGGACCAAGUUCAAAAGUUAAGUCACAGAUGCUAAUGAUGUCAUGACAAUGAAUCUCUUUCCAGGAAUCACUAUUUGUUGAAUAUAUCUGCAAAAUUGGUGCAUCACUAGUAAAAAUGUUUUCGUGUAGAAAGCGGACAACCUUGUAGUCAUCGUAGAUGCUAUCAAAAGCAAAUGCUAGGGUACCGUGAACAUCGUCUCCCAAAGCCCUGGCAUAACGGGGAAAUCUAGGAAGUUCCUUGCACUGCUUGGUUGUUGGGUUCCAGAGGUAACAGUAUAUAUCGAAUACUAGACAUAUAAUGCCAUUAGAGGAACCAAUAACUGUGAACAGGCGCGGCUUAAGUAGAUAACAUUUAUAGCUGGGACAGACUAGUCGAGUAAUGUCUGUCAAAACCGAUGGUUCACCAAUCAUCAACACUGAAGCUUCCUCGUCCGCUCUAAUACGUCUGUAGUACGAGAGUGUUUUAAUAAAUUCGGGGUCUGAGAUAAUAGAUCGCCACGACUUGCAGACCGAGCUGCACCUCGUCAAUGACUUGGCGGGAAGCCGAUAAAAUAUUUCAGUAACCAUCUCAUCAGGCAAAACAAACUUUGAGCAUGCCAUUAUGUUCCAAGACGGUCGUCGAGCUCACGAAAAAUUACACCUGUGGAAACAAAACCAGAGCAAAUUUCGAGGCCAGUUGAAACAAGAAAAUCAAUUUGAACUUCAAUGCCACACAACAGUGUAACGAAUCAUAUACCCCAUCAUAUAACAAAGCCAAAAUUCAGAAAUUUAAUAAAUCCCUACUUCAAGCCCUAAAUCUUAAUAAAACAUCAACACACGUAUACCUAUACAACUUCAGGAUCAUAUACCCCCACAUGUAUACACAAACCAUAGUUACAAAUAACCGGGAUUACCAAUAUAUACCAAAUAUAAUCGAGGCUAAAUUCAGAUUUAGUUAACUUUUUUCACGUCAGAUCAAUUAGAUCUUAAAAUAUUAUUUUUACCAAUUUUUAACUAAAAGUCAAAAUUCAGAAAAAUCAUCUAUUAAAGUUUGGAAUUGAGUUGGAUCUUCACCGGUCCUGGACGCCAUCGUACACAAACAUUUUUAUAAAAAUAAUUGAACAUAGAACUUCGACAUAUUACAAAUGAAAAGCUCAAUAAGUUACGAAUUUUGAGAUAACAACGUCAAGAUGUGAAAUAAAAUGUAAACGCACACAUAAAUUUGCAAAAAUUAGGGUUUCACAAAAUGAAAAGUUAAUUACCUUCAAAUCUGGAGUGUAGACGAUGCUUUGAAGUCUCCAAUUAAUUCAAUUGUAUUGCCAGGGUCAGUGCUUUUUAUCGGGCGACGUACUAAUUGAGAAUUGACGAGGUCUCCAAUUAAUUUCAACUGUAUUGCCGGGGUCGGUGCUUUUUAUCGAGCGGCGUACUAAUUGAGAAUUGAGUAUCGGUUAAGCAUUUGUGCUUUGAGUAUCAAAACAUGGUUAAUAUUUUCCUAUAUACUCAUGUGUUACACACGUGAUGUGACGAGACUAAUAUAGCUUUUUUAAAGUUACUUUAUUGAGUUUCGAUCAAAAAAAAGAAAAAAGUUACUUUAUUGAGUUACACAUUUGUCAAAGGUGUAUCGUAUGUAAGAUGAAAGUUGAAUACCAUAGUAAUUAGGUGAAGAGAAUGCCAAAUUAUAUUGGGCUUAUUUAAAUUUGAAAAUUAUAUGUGAUAUUGUUUAAUAUUUUUUUUAUUGACAUUUAAAGACUCUUUAAGAGUUUUCUCUUUUCAUGUGAUUAAAGUGUUAAUAAAUUUUUCGUGUAAAAUAUGAAGAUAUCUUAGCUCUUGUCGCGAAUUCAAGGUGGUAAUGGACUUCCUCAUGUACCCAAUGAAUAUAUCUCAAUCGAAUUUGUUCUCCAGGAUUCGUUUGUGUUUUCAAGGGUUAAUUUUUGUUGAUCUUACACCUCUGUGCUGCGUCAUGAGGGCAGCUAAACUGGUAGUACAGCAGUGGCAAAAUGCUCGGAGCUUUGAAGUUUUGCACUAUUAAAAUUAACAUGGACGGGGCUCUAUUUUUUUAAAAGCAGAGUUAAUAGUUUCUCUUGCUUAAGUCUAACCCCAAGGGAUCCAAAAUCCAAAAUCUCUGGGUAUCUUUCCAUGGAUCUAGGGAUGGGGACUACCGUACACACCUCAUUGUGCAAAUCAAAUGAAACUAUGUCUCCCUGAUGACCCGUGUACAAAACUCCAGGAUCAGUAUUUGUCGAAUAUAGCUGCAGAACUAGAGGCAACAUGUUGUCUAAUUAGGGAUGAGUAUCGUGUCACUUCAAGACCUCUAUUAUGGCAAGUUCAACAAUAUCCUAAAAUGAGGUACUAAAUCAACAGUUCCAUUUUCCAAACCUUAUAAUUUUGUGCCGCUGUGAAUGCUAGCUACAUGUAAAUGCUUUUCAUGAAAUGCACGGAAGCCAUUCUUGGAUUACAAACGCGUGCCUACUUGAUAGGUUUACUUAAAUUUACAUAAACAAUUUAACUUAGAUUCAAAAAUUAGACCACAGUACGAAAGUAAAACCUGAAGUGCAGAAUGGAAAGGAAAACAGAAGCACCUUAUAUGUGAGGAUUUAGGUGCAGAACUCCUAGGACUAGUUUUAUAGACUUAAACACAUGUCUAAUAACGUAUAUAUAUAUGAUAUGACUUCUAGCACUUGGUUGAAAGAUAGAAAUCAUUGAAACACUUGGUUUGAACCCUUCGAUUGAAGAUAAGGUCUCUGUGUAUUUAAGGAAUGAUUUCCGUCUCCUACCUCGACUAGUUUAAAAGCUUCUCUUUGUAUAAUCAUACAAGACUGUAGUAUGGCCUUCAAGUCAUUCUCUGCCCCAAAAAAGUCCACUACCUAAGUAAGACUUUAUCCAUGGUAACUUAUCAUGCAUAAUGAGCUUUCUAGUCCAAGAGGCUUCGCCAUGAAUAUUAUCUAGUGUCCACAGACUUUUCGAGCCAUUCUCAUCUGAUUGGAUCACAGCAACAGAGCCAUUGAAUUCCGAAACAUCAGACAUUAAGGUUGUGUUCACUUGGAUGGAAUGGAAUGAGAGGAGAAUGGAAUGAAAAAUUAUAUAGAAAUUUUAUGGAGAAACAAGAAAGUAUGAGCUAAUAGUGACUAAAUAUGAAUGAGUUAAUUUUUUUUGUGAUUAAGAUUGUAAAGAAAUAUGAUGUAGAGAUGGAAUGAGCAUUCCUUCCAAAACAUGUGGGGUAGAAUUCUAGUUAAAAUAGUAUGAAUGGAAUGAUUGAAGGAAUGAAAAUUGUAUACAUUUUGUUAGAUCAACACCAUUUUUGAGUACAAAAUUCAUUCCAUUCUCCCUCCAUUCCAUUCACUCCAAGUGAACACAACCUAAUAACCUAGAAUAAGGGAAUGCAUGCACUGUAAACACCUCAUAGUGCAAAUCAACCGAGACAAGCCGUGCCUCAUGACCCAUAUACAAUACUCCAUCAAUGACAGGACCAAAUUUCAAACGCGGCUCAAGCAGCUCUCUAGAUAUGGACGUAUCACAAACAUGAAUCUCUUUCCACGCAUUAGUAUUUGCGGAAUCUGGUACAAAAUUAUCAGCGAUAAAGACAGAAUCGAGUAAUAGAAUGCCUUCUAGGAGUGAAUGAACCUAAAAACCUAAUAACUUUGUAGUCAUUAGAGAGAGAAUCAAAACCAAAGGCCAUUCGAUGAACUUGAUACAUAUAAUACCAUUACACGAACCAACAACCUCAAAACGGUGUGCUAUAUUUCGGAUAUAAUAUAUAGCAGAGUCUUUAGAGACAAAUUGAAGCUGUUGAUAAUCAUCAACUUCCCCAGAAAUCGAUAGUAGUGAAGCAUUCUUAUUAGCCCUAAAUUGGGUGUAAUCCAUGUGAGCCUUAAUGAAAUUCGGUUCGGAUAUAAUGGAGAGCCAUGACUUGCAAACAGACCUAAAGCGGAGCAAUGUCCUCACGGGAAGCCAACAAAGUAUUUCAAUACCAUCUUUUCCGGCAAAACGUACUUCAAUCUUGCCAUUGGGUGUCAAGCUAAAUUUUAUAUAUACUACACAAUAGCUGGGUUUUAUAAAGCAAACACAAUGAGGGAUAUCUUGCAGUUGAAUGUUAAAGCUGAAGAUAUGUACGUAUGACUAGAUAACAAUUUUAAAACAAAAGAGUUUAAAACCUACUCCCUCCAUCCCGUUGGAUUCUUUAUGAUUUCGUAUUUUCACUUUCACUCAUUUCUUUACAUUACAAACACUCUUAAAAUAAUUAAUGGGUCCCACCAUUAGUCUGUUGUUCCUGCCUUUUCACACUGCUUAUACUCUAUUAUAUCACUUUUAUAUAUCAAAAAUCAAUGAGGCCAACCAUUUUUUCAUUUUUCCUACCUUUUCACACUACCUUUACUCUAUUAUACCUCUUUUAUAUACUAAAAAUCAAUGAGUUCUACCACUUCAUCCACUUUUCUACUACUUUAUACGUAUUUUUUAAUCUUCGUGUCCAAACCCAAUCUAAUAAAUUGGGUGGGACAUAGGGAGUAUGUAUCACAGACUCAUAGUACCAGGCUUAUGUGUUAUGUCUAUUCUCUUGAGCUACCCAGGCCACUAGGAUGAGCAAAAUUGAACGAUAAACUAAAACCGUACAAAACUGUACCAAACAAAACCACACCAAUUGGAAACCGAACCAGAUAAAAACCGAACAAAUAAUAUGAUUUUUAUUUGGUUUUAAAUUUAUUAAAACCGAAUACAAACUGAACCGAAUCAUGAUAAUAAUUAUUAUAAAAAUGAUAUUUUAUAUAAAAUAAUAUAGUUAUAUAAAUGAGAAAAAGGUAUAUCAGAUUAAUUUGAUAUAAGUAGUGUGUAUAUAUGAGGUUAAACGGCAAGGUGCAUUUGUUUUUAAAUGUACCUAGAUUGUCGUUUCAUGAGAAACCUAUUAUUCCACCUUCAAUUCCUUAUUUCUUUAAGAAAUCAAGGAGACAAAACUAUAUACAUAUGUCGUAUAAUUGUGUAAUCAGGAGGUUUUAUAUGUCAUAUUACACACAAUUAGGACAUGUCCACAAAAAAUAGUAACAACAACGUGCAGCGAUCAGUUUUAUGGUUUCACCUCAUAUAAGCAGUAUCAGGUUAACCUGAUAUUCCUUUUACUCUAUAUAAAUAUAUAAAGUAAUAUAAUUAUAUAAAUAAUAUUAUAUGAAUAAUGUCUGCAACACAGAAAUAGCUUCAUGUGUGAUUAGUCUGUUCCUUUAUUAGUAUGCUCUCCUUUCCUGUUCAAUUCAUCUAUUCAUUUAUUUACUAGUAUCAUUGAUUCAAGUGUUUCAUCUAAGAUAUGACUUCUGUACAAGAACACGCUAAAUUUCUUUGGAAUUGGGAACUUAACACCUACUUGCAAGGAUAUAGUUGUAACCUUUUAGUAAGUCUACCCCCAAAUUAGAUAGUAAAUAUAUUAAAAAGCAUUUUAUAAAAUUGAUUUUAAAACCGAAACCGAAUUUCAAAAACCGAAACCGAACCAUUUACAUGGUUUGAUCUUUGGUUUCUAGUUUAGAAACCAAAUUAAUAUGGUUACCGCUUACCGUACACCGCCCCAAGCCACCCUACGCUCAUGUCUACUGCCCACCUCCAGCUUGCUUCUUUUUAUUAACUCAAAGUUACCCAACUAUCAAAAACAAUUCUUGAUAACAAUAAGUACAUUAGAUAAUCGGCUACUAGUUAAUUGGGUAUGGGCUUAUGAUGAGCAGCGCCUGCGUGUUCUGUUCUUCCUUCUCCGGGCUCCGACAAAUCCAUGGAUUUUGCUUCUUCUGCAGAGUGUAUGUUUAUAUUGUGUAUCUAUAUAUAUUUGUUGUUUUAAUUGAAAUUAUCAGGUCAUAACUAGGUUAAUUGUUAUGUUUUAUUAUGUGUUCAAUCAGUAAAUUGGUCUUUAUUUGUAUAUAUAAUCUGUGUAGUUGUGUUGAUUGCCCAAUUUUAAUAUUCUAUUGCUUUGUUUAGCAGCAAAAAGUUGAAAAAUUAUUCACUGGACAGUAGCAGUCUAACAGGAAGUUGAAAGAAAAGUGGGAAUUCUGUGAUUACAACAUUUAGGUAUGUUAAUAUCGUUUUACCUGUAUAUUUUUCCCCUGCUGUAACUUUGUAGGCCUUUAUCUAUUAUCUGGAUAUUAGAAUUGAUAGUUAAUAUUUGAUACUUAAAAUGCCAACCUUAUAUUUGUUAAGCAGUUAAUCAAUCAUGCAUCGAUUUGAUAAAAAAACUCCGAACAUCUCCCCCGUCAUCUCCAACACCUCCCCAGCCAGUAAUAGAUGAGCCUCCAAUUGGCAGUGUUCCUGAAUCUUCCCCACCAGAUUUAAACCCAGAAAUUGUUGUUGAUGAACUUGAAGCCGGGCCAGGGUUGCGAAAGAAUGUAAAUAUUGUUGCUCCAGAUGAGAGAGAGAGAUAGAAUUCGAAGGGCAUUCUUGCUAAAAGGACCAUUUUGUAUUUAAGAAAAACUUCUGGUUGUCAAUAUUUCUGCUCCUGUAUACUUUAGUAAGAACAUGUUAAUAUAUUAAGAAAAUACUUUGGUGAAAUAUUUUGGUGCCCCCUCUAAAAUUAGAUCCUAGAUCCGCCCCUGAGCUUGCCCAUGUCUAUAUUAAAUUCAAUUACCACUAAGUUAUAGUAUAGGAUAAGAAUUCCAAAUGGCUGAAACAGUAGUGUUAAUUAUUGAGCCCUUAAGAUAUUCUCUCUUUUUUUGCCACCAGCCCUUAUAAUAUUACUUGAAUUGAAUAUUUCUAUUAUUUUAGGAAAAAAAACCUUAUCAACUUAGUGCCAGGAUACUCAUAAACAAAUAUGCCAUGUUUGUUUCAGAUCUAUAUUAUAGUAAACUACCAUAAAUUUGUCACCAGUUCUCUGAAUUUUAGAGACAUAGGUGGUUCUGACCAAGAAGACAAAGAAUUCCAAAUGGCUGAAGCAGUAAUGUCAAUUGUUGUGGCAAGGCUUACUGAUUUAUUGAUUGAAGAACCCGUGGCUCUUCAUGGACUCAAGGAUGAAAUUCAACAAGUGGUGAGGAAGCUUGAGUUGAUGAAGACAUUCUUACGGGAUGCUGAUUCGAGGACAAGUGAGUAUCAAGUCCGGACUUUGGUUGGUGACAUACGAGCACUUGCUUAUGAUGCUGAACAUGUUGUAGAAAGCUUUAUUGUUAAAGCUUCAUCAACUGCAAGAAACAGAAGAAAACAAGCAAACAAGAUCAAAGAUAUAGAAAGCAAGAUGUCUCUCCUCUCUGAUCGCAUUCGUGAUAAUAAUAUUAAAUCAACAUCAGAAUCAUCAAAUUCAUCAUCUCAAGCACCUGGAAAGCUAAAGCGAUUUCACUCUUUCACAACCGUUGAGCCAGAGAUAUUUGUUGGAUUUCAUGGAGCCGUUAAUCAACUGGUGGGAUAUUUGGUCAAUGAAAGUGAUGAUCGUUACCCGCUUAUCUCUAUCUGUGGAAUGGGCGGUCUAGGUAAGACAACUCUCGCUCAAAAAAUAUACAAUCAUCCAACCAUUAAAGCAUCCUUUUCUGGUUUAGCCUGGGUUUCCAUUUCGCAGAAGUGGCAAAAGAAACUCGUGUUGCAGCGAAUACUGAUAUGUCUCAUCCAUGAAAAGAAAGAGGAAAUUCUUACUUGGGACGAUGACAAGUUAGUGGAGAAUCUGCUAGAAAUCCAGCAGAGGAAAAAAUGCUUGAUAGUGCUUGAUGACAUAUGGACUACCGAUGCUUGGGAUUCCAUAGAAUCGGCCUUCACAACUAAAACAUCUGGCAGCAAAUUAAUUCUUACCAGCCGUAAUGUGAAGGUUGCUGUGCAUGUAAAUCGAGAAGGAUUCAUAUACCAACCAGAAUGCCUAAAUGAAGAACAAAGUUGGGAGCUACUUAAGUUGAAAGCAGUUCCCAGAGGAUAUCAUCUAGGUAGAUACUAUACUUGCAUCUAUUAUGUUUCAUUCACUAUAGUACAUAUAGGUACGCAUUCACUCCAAAGAAUAAAGUUCAAGAAUAUUAUUGAAAAUGUCCAAAUCCAUGAUACUAGAUCCUUUUUCAACUCAGAUGAUAUAUGUAAAGUUAAUAGUGUAGACUUGGAAAUCCAGAUUUAGUCGAGCAUAACUUGUUUCAUGAUUCUAAACUUGCAAUUGCAAAAGAUGUUCGAAAACCUAUUUAACAGUAAGUAAUUUAUUACAAAGAUAAGAGAGCGAAAUAUCUUGGACAGUCAACCUUAAUUACAUUAGAGGUUUAUCUACAUAAAAGGCAUGGCGAGAAAUUAUUUUAGCCGAUUAUAAAAUUAAAAAGAAAUAAAUUUUAGUCUAUAUGCAUUUGUCUGACAUAAUAUGUUUUUGUUUGUGAUUCUUUGCUUUUGUGUGUUGCAGAUUCCAUAGAUAUUUUUAUUGAGAUGGAAAAAUUGGGAAGAGAAAUGGUUAAAAAAUGUGCCGGUCUUCCACUAGCUAUAGUCAUUUUAGGCGGAAUUCUUGUAACAAAACCUUCACUGAUGGAGUGGGAGAAGGUUUAUGCUGAUAGUUUAUGGUCCCUGCAGAAGGGAAAAGGAUUGGGAGAAGAUCAGCAAAGAGAAUUAUUUCAUGUUCUAGUCUGGAGUUACAAUGAUUUACCCCCACAAUUAAAGCCAUGUUUUCUGUACUUAGGUAAAUUUGGUGAAGAUGAACAGAUAAAAGCAGAGACUCUAUAUCAGUUGUGGAUUGCAGAAGGGAUGGUACUGUCGACUGAUAAAAGGGAAGGAGAGACAAUGAUGCAAGUAGCUGAAUCGUAUAUGGGGGAACUGGUCCAUAGGAGUAUGGUUCAAGUGACAUAUGAAGAUAUGGAGAACUCACAUACAAAGAUAAAAUCUUCCUCUCUUCAUGACCUUAUGAGAGACCUAUCUCUGUCCCAAGCAAAAGCAGAAGAUUUUUUUGAAGUUCUUGAUCUUCGAAAAGGAAACGAUUUUCAUCUCAAUCCUUCAGCAGAUUUCAGGUCGGUUGACACUCGACAGCUUGUAGUUUAUUAUGAUGAGGAACAUAUAUGCAAACAAAGUAAAUCCUACUUUGUCAAGAAAUGCAAGAAACAACAAUAUCGAUCAAUGUUACUAUUCGGUGAUGGUGUAUACACAGAUUUGCCGAAAGUAGUGGGGUCACGUGUUGCCAAUUUCAGGUUCCUAAGAGUUUUUUCCAUAAAAAAUGCAGCAGUGGAUGGUAUACUUUAUCCUAGAAGUUUUGUUAGAGCAUUAGGAAGCCUUGUAUACUUGAGAUAUCUUAGUGUGAGGAACGUUGACUUGUUAUUGGUUCCAUCUAUAGAGAAUAUGGUGCUACUCCAAACUCUCAGAUUAGAUCCAUUCAAUCGUAUAUCUAUUCCAUCAUGGCUUUCAAGAAAUAUUCUGGGCAAGCUAGGACAUUUGCGGCAUUUGUAUUUACCUCCUCAUGAUUGUACAACUCCAAAGAAAGAAAAAUUAAGGCUUGGUGGAUUGGAUAAGUUAGAGACAUUGGAGAACUUCAGUAAUCUGUGGUGUGAGCCUAAGGAUCUUCCAAAACUAAUCAAUCUUCAAAAACUAACAUUAGAAGUAGCCGGUGUUGAUGAUGAUGUGAAAGAGAGCAUAAAAAAUCUGUCUGCACUAGUCGUGUCAUCAUCUUCAAAUCUCACGUACUUGGGACUUUCUCUUUUUUUAGAUGAUCAAGCAGGAGAGAACGCUAGAGAGUUGUUUUGGGAUUAUAAAUCCAUCCUUCAGAAAUUAAGGAUAAGUGGUCGGUUGGCAGAAUUGGCUCAAUUAGUUGAGAACCAACCGCGGAAUAAUCAUGUUGAAGAAUCUUCAAUUUGUAUCACUUCCUUGAAGUUACAGUACUCGCUCCUGGUAGAUGACCCGAUGCCAGUACUGGAGAAUAUUCCAACGCUGCGUAAUCUCGAUUUAUCCUACGACUCAUUUCUGGGGAAGGAGAUGGUGUGCUCGUCCGUGGGUUUCCCGAAACUCACCAGUCUUGUACUGCGCAGGCUCCCCAACUUGGUGAAAUGGAAUAUCGAGGAAGGAAGCAUGUCCGUUCUCACCAAGUUAGAGAUUGAUCGUUGUUGGAUGUUAGAGGAGCUUCCAGAAGGUCUGAUAUUUCUCACUUCCCUUCAGCAUUUAUCGUUUUUCUGGAUGGCUACAGAUUUCAUAAACAAAGUCCGCACGGUAAAUGGCAAACAAGGACAGGACUUUUAUAGAGUUGCUCACGUUCCUGACUUUUCUAUUUUCAAUGGGACUGACUGGCAAUAUGUAGAAUAAGGAGCUGGUCACUUCUAGAAUCCCACAACCGGUCAAUUUCCUAUUUUUCGUUAUCCAUAAAUGAAUAUUCUUCUUUAAUGUGUUUUUUUUUUUUAUCAAGGUUUGCAACAAAUAUGAUAUAUUCUGGUUGCAUAAUUUAAUAUCUAUUCUGUUUGUAUAAACGAAUGUUCGAAAUAUUAGGUAUGUGUCAUUGUUGGUUGAUACAAGUUUUAUAGAUUUUGUCUGAAACAGGAUAAAACUUUUGAUGUUUACACAACCAAUGAUGAUAAAGUACAUUUUUAAGGAGUAUAAGAGGAAGAAAUGAGUAAAGGUUUUGCCUUAUGCUGCUUGGGUGAGGAAUAGGUCGUUGGGUUUUGAAACCAAUACCAGUUAUUUAGGUAAAUAUGGUGAAGAUGAACAGAUAGAAAUAGAGACUCUAUAUCAGUUAUGGAUUGCAGAAGGGAUGGUACUGUCGACUGAUAAAAGGGAAGGAGAGACAAUGAUGCAAGUAGCUGAAUCGUAUAUGGGGGAACUGGUCCAUAGGAGUAUGGUUCAAGUGACAUUUCAAGAUAUGGAAAACUCGCGUACAAAGAUAAGAUCUUCCUCACUUCAUGACCUUAUGAGAGACCUAUCUCUCUCCCAAGCAAAAGCAGAAGAUUUUUCUGAAGUUAUUGAUCUUCGAGAAGGAAAUAAUUUUCAUCUUAAUCCUUCGGCAGAUUUCAGGUCGGAUGACACUCGACAACUUGUCGUUUAUUAUGAUGAGGAACAUAUAAGCAAACAAAUUAAAUCCUACUUUGUCAAGAAAUGCAAGCAACAACAAUAUCGAUCAAUGUUACUAUUCGGUGAUGGUGCAUACACAGAUUUGCCGAAAGUAGUGGGGUCACAUGUUGCCAAUUUCAGGUUCCUAAGAGUUUUUUCCGUGGAAAAUGCUGAAGUAGAUGGUAAACUUUAUCCUAGAAGUUUUGUGAGAGCACUAGGAAGCCUUGUGUACUUGAGAUAUCUUAGUGUAAGGAAUGUUUCCUUGUCAAUGAUUCCAUCUAUACAGAACAUGGUGCUACUUCAAACUCUCAAAUUAGAUCUAUUCAGACCUAUAUCUAUUCCAUCAUGGCUUUCAAGAAACAUUCUGGGCAAGCUGAGACAUUUGCGGCAUUUGUAUUUACCUCUUAGUGCUGAUUGGACACCUCCAAAGACACAAAAAUUAAGGUUUGAUGGUUUGGGCAAGUUAGAGACAUUGGAGAACUUCUGUAAUUUGUGGUGUGAGGUUGACGAUCUUCCGAAACUAAUCAAUCUUCAGAAACUAACAUUAGAAAUAUACAGUGUUCGUGAUGAUGGGAAAGAGACCAUGGAAAAUCUGUCCUUGCCAUCAUCUUCAAAUCUCGGGUACUUGGGACUUUCUCUUAAUUUUUACGAUCAACCAGGAGAGACUGUGAGAGAGUUGUUUUGGGAUUAUAAAUCCAUCCUUCAGAAAUUAAGCAUAUGUGGUCGACUUGCAGAAUUGGCUCAAUUAUUUGAGAACCAACCGCGAAAUAUUAUCAAUAAUCAUGUUGAAGAAUCUUCAAUUCGUAUCACUUCCUUGAAGCUAUGGUUAUCGCUCCUGGUAGAUGACCCAAUGCCGGUACUCGAGAAGAUUCCUAUGCUGCGUAAUCUCAAUUUAUCUGUAGACUCAUAUGUGGGGAAGGCGAUGGUGUGCUCGUCCAUGGGUUUCCCGAAACUCACCACUCUUGAACUGCGCAAGCUCCCCAACUUGGUGAAAUGGAAUAUAGAGGAAGGCAGCAUGUCUGUUCUCACCAACUUAACGAUUACUAGUUGCUUGAUGUUAGAGGAGCUUCCAGAAGGUCUGACAUUUCUCACUUCCCUUCAGCAUUUAUCGUUACGCUAUAUGCCUACAGAUUUCAUAUACAAACUCCGAACGGAAGAUGGCAAAAAAGGACAGGACUUUUACAAAGUUGCUCACGUUCCUCUCUUUUCUAUUUUCAAUGGGACUCCCUGGCAAUAUGUAGAAUUAGAAUAAGGAGCUGAUAGAAUCCCAGAACCUGUUAAUUUCCUAUUUUUCGUUACUCAUAAUUGAGUUUUCUUCUUCAAUGUGGUUUUUUAAAACAUAAAUACAAUAUUUGACCGUAAUAUUGUAAAUUUGAAACCCGGGCUACCAAAGAUGUAAAAAUAGAUAAAAUUGUGCUUGAGAGACCAAAUGAACCAAUUUAUUUUUUAAAUUCCGCUUAUAUGAUUUGUUCUUCGACUAGCUUAGAGCGACUUAUCGUAGGACUAUCAAUGUACUGAAAAGGAUUAUAGUUAUCCCUUAUCUGUAAUUCAAGGGAUGCAUAUAUAGAUAAAUUACUGUACCUCAAACUCUACUCUGUUUUUAUGGUAGUUGACAUUUAUUUGGGUGAAAAAUGCAGAUAAUUUAAACAAUUUAUUUGUAAUCCUUCUAUAUGAACUACACAAACGAAAUGUAUUUUCCUGAGAUGUUUAAGCUUGUCACGCAUCCCUGAACUUAUUAUACUCGGAUCUCACACAAGUUUAAGAUGAUAAUAACAGAACUACAGAGCAACCAACUCCAACUUUGAGAGCAACUCCAAUGCAAUGCUAUACUUGGUUCUAUUGCUAUAUUAUAGCAUCAAAAGUAAAAAAACUCAACUCCAAAGGGGUGCUAUAUUUGGAUGCAUCCAUGCAUAGAUGCAUCCUUGGUUCUAUAUUUGAAACCACGGAUGGAUCCAUCAAUGUUGCCACAUCAUCAAGAGCUAGAAAUUGGAAACUAGUUAAUGAGUUAAUGAGUUAGGUAAAAGUUAAUGAGUUUGUUCUAUAUACAAGUUAGGUAAAAAUUAAUGAGUUGGUUAAAUUUGAAACUAGUUAUAGAACUUGGCAUUGGAGUGCAAGUUUUAUUUUAGCACCAAAAAACACUUUUUGGUGCUAUAUUAUAGCAAUAGCAAUAGAUAUAUAGCAUCUAGCAUUGGACUUGCUCUGACAAUUUAGAAUUCAGAGUAUAGUUGAAACGAAAACUUAAAGUACAACCAGCAACUAAACUACCUUGCAUAUGAGGAUUGCAGGUACAAAACUCCCGAAACGAAACUCCUGAAUUCAUCCCGAACGUUACUCGCUAUGUGUCUAACAAGAUAAGCCCAUCAAUCAAUAAGUUUCAAAGCAUCCAACUAUUGCGAGGAUAGAAAAUUACCGAACCUAUUAAUUCUAAGCGGUUCAGAACCUUUGAUUGAAGCACUGGUCUCUGUGAAUUUUAAAAAAAAAAUCAGCCCCACCACUGGAACCGGAAUAUGUUUGUACUCUUUCUUCAUGUAGUCAUACAAGAAGAGUUCAUCAGGACACAAAAUCUCUUUCACUCGAGAAAAAAGUCCACCACCCAAAUUAGAAUAUACCCAGAUUAUUUCACCUAGAGCAAUAUUUAACUUCUUACUCCAAGAAAUGUUUCCAUCAAUAUGAUUUAUCGUCCAUAGACAUAUUUCUGAUCUUUCCCCAAUGGAUUCGAAGAUGACCCCUGCAGAAUCUUCAAAAUACAAAAUCUAGGAACUUCCUUGUACUGCUUGGUUGUUGGGUACAUCACCAGUAAUAAUGUUUUCGGGUAGAAGCUGGACAUCCAGGUAAAAGAGCGAGUAUUUUUUUCAGGAUUAUGUGAAAAGUACGAAGUAUAAGAGCAAGCAUCUCCUUGUACAUAUUUAUUAGCUAUAAUAUGAUAUACAGAUAAUCAUCUAAAAUUAUAACUAAGCAUCUCGAAGGGUAGUAUAUGCAUAUUUAUUAGUUAUAAUAUGAUAUAUGGAUAAUCAUCUAAAAUUAUAGCUAAGAGGUCCUAGAUUCACUCCAAUGGUGUUAUCUAUAAUUAUAUUAUCUAAAAUUAUAAAUAAUAGCUUUAGAGGUUUUACAAAUGUAGCUACUCCAAUUUUAGUUAUCUAUAUUUUUUUGCUAAGAGGUAAUGGUUGGAGUGCUUAACUUUUUACAUAAUAUCUAAAUAGUGUCACUAGAUGCCAAAUAGAUGCCAUGUAGAUAAUUUAGCUUAUGGUUUUAGUCCCUUGGAGAUGCUCAGGUCUUAGAUUCACUCCAAUGGUGUUAUGUAUAAUUAUAUUAUCUAAAAUUAUACAUAAUAGAUUUAGAGGUUUUACAAAUGUAGCUACCCCAAUUUUAGUUAUCUAAACUUUUUUGCUAAGAGAUAAUGGUUGGAGUGCUUAACUUUUUACAUAAUAUCUAAAUAGUGCCACUAGAUGCCAACUAGAUGUCAUGUAGAUAAUUUAGCUAAUGGUUUUAGAGCAUCUCCAGCAGCUUCCAUAUAUGGUGUCCUAAGCUAUUAAUACAAGGAAUAUAACAUAAAACACAACUACAGCAGAGUCCUAGCCAUCCCUUAAAAAGUUAGGAUGACCACUUCAUUCCUCAUUUUUAAGGACUGUGGAACCAUUCCUCAUACUAUUUUGAAGAAUAAAAUAUUCACUUUUCUCUUUUCCCCCCUCUUUCCCNAAGAUGCUCUAAGAAGUCAGACUUGAAAUUAUCAGUAAAAUCAAACCAAACAUGCUCGCUAUAUAUCCCGCUUAGAGGGGUCUGUUGACAAAAUAAUACUAAUUCAACUUCAAGUCCGAGGAGGGUAAAACUUUAAGUGGAACUAGCUUUCUAACCCUGCAAAAGCACGGUUGUUUUAAAUUAUUUUAUCAAUAUUUUUUUAUAUCUCUUUGUUCAUCUUUUUUAAAUUGAGAUUAUUUAUAUUAUAAAAGUAAUUUCAGUUUUAUAUUUAUUUGUAUUUUAAGUCAUAUUAUGUUGAUGUCUGUACACACUAUUAUGUUAUUUGUUAAAAUAUAAAUAUAAAAAUAUAUAUAAUUAAAUUAUCACUCACAAAAAAUUAUUGAAAAUUUGAUAAAAUGAGAUUUUUGACAUAUCAAAGAUUUUGUCAUAUAGUUAUUUAUUAUAUACAUAACUAUAUAUACAUAAUUUUAUCAAAUCAUAAUAAUUAAAUAAUUUUAAAAAUCGGCCGAUUAAUCGAUAAUCGAAUGGGUUUUUAAGCUGAUUUGACAAAAUUCGGUUAAAUCAAAGAUUAAUUGGUCAAAAUUUGAAAAAUCAAUCGAAAAUCAGGCAGAAUGUUAAAAUUUACAAAAAUUAUGGAAAAUUUUUAAAAUUUUAAAAAUAAUUAUAUAUAUUAAUAAAUUAAUUUUAAAUAAUGAUCAUGUUAAUCAUAAUGAGAUGAUAAGGUAAGAAUAAACCUGCCAAGGUGCUCAAAAACUUAUAUGUGGUCUAUAUUGAGUCAACUACGAGUUUGGUUCUGACCAAGAAGGCAAAGAAUUCCAAAUGGCUGAAGCAGUAGUGUCAAUUGUUGUGGCAAGGCUUACUGAUUUAUUGAUUCAAGAACCGGUGGCUCUUCAUGGACUACUCAAGGAUAAAAUUCAACAAGUGAUAACCAAGCUCCAGUUGAUGAAGACAUUUUUACGGGAUGCUGAUUCAAGGAUAACUGAGCACAAAGUCCGGACUUUGGUUGCUGACAUACGAGCACUUGCUUAUGAUGCUGAACAUGUUGUAGAAAGCUUUAUUGUUAAACCUUCAUCCUCUGCAAGAAACAGAAGGAAACAAGCAAUCAAGAUCAAAGAUAUACAAAGCAAGAUGUCUCUGCUCUCUGAUCGCAUUGGUGAUAAUAAUAUUAAAUCAACAUCAGAAAUUCAGAAUCAUCAAUUUCAUUGUCUGAAGCACCUGGACAGCUAAAGCGAUUUUACUCUUUCACAACCAUGGAGCCAGAGAUAUUUGUUGGAUUUCAUGGAGCCGUUGAUCGACUGGUGGGACAUUUGGUGAAUGAAAGUGAUGAUUGUUACCCGCUUAUCUCUAUUUGUGGAAUGUGAGGUCUAGGUAAGACAACUGUGGCUCAAAAAAUAUACAAUCAUCCAACCAUUAAAGCAACCUUUGCUGGUUUAGCCUGGGUUUCCAUUUCGCAGAAGUGGCAAAAGAAACUUGUGUUGCAGCGAAUACUGAUAUGUCUCAUCCAUGAAAAGAAAGAGGAAAUUCUUACUUGGGACGAUGAAAAGUUAGUGGAGAAUCUG
rnacentral:lncRNA from 1 species